rnacentral:rRNA from 1 species
UACUACAGGUUAACCCACAGAACCGCACAGGUACAGUAGUGUUUUUCUAACGGGCCGCGACGAGCAAACGAAGCGGCUCUUCUUUCUCUCUCAGUCCUUCAGCGGAGCUCGGGGGUGGGAAGGAGAGGGUUUUGUGCGUUGGAUAGGAGAGGGUCGCAGACACUUCCACCUCACCUCCUUUUCCUCUUCCUCUUGCACCCGCCUCCUCUUCCUCCUCCCCUGCGCCGACGCUCGUGCGGCCGCCGGCACGUGGAGCUCCCUCUUAACCCACCCUCCUCUUCCGCUGAACCGCCGAAACUAUAUACCGGAAGGUGGCCGCGGCGGUGUCCCUAUCUACCGUCCUAGACUCCAUUCGGACUAGGGAGCGGAGAAGAGCACAGGGUACCUUCUGCUGCUGUCGUGUUCGCUACCGCCGGAGCAGACCACCGUUUCCUCCUCCGGUGCAAGGAGUUCCGCAGCUACCCGCGGCCGUCCGAGGCUUAGCUCCCGAGGGAGUCGAAGUUCUCCGACAUCCACCACCUCUGGUGGCAAGGUACCAAAGUGGCUACUCGUUCAGGUUCCUUCUCGACCUCCAAAGAAGGACCCAGGGAAACAGAGAUCCCUUCGAUGGAGUGCCCCAGUUCUUCUCCGUCUCCUCCGGGGACCUGUAGUUCCUCGCUACGGGGGUAGGAGAAAAGAGAGAGAGGUACCUGACGAAGUUCUGGACCCACUUAAAAGAAGGAGAGAAAUAAAGCGUAAAUAACUCUUCGUGUGAAUCAACUAAACUAAAAUAAGUUCUACACUAAUAAGCACCUGAAUGGGAUACGUUGGUAAAGGGAACUAAUUCAAUUCUUCUACGCCUACCGCCGUCGUCAACCGGUUUAGUCAACAGUUAAACUAAGUGUACGUCUAAAACACACACAAGUAUAUAGUACAACAUACACAUAGCGAUUAAUAAAAAAACCAACAAGUUAUGGAUUUUGUGAAUGACUAAUUGUAAUAUAAGGUAUUUUACAUUCGUCGGUUCUUAAUAUUUUCCCUUGUACUGCGGCUUCUGAGUUUCAAGAAUCAAUAAAAGUAUAACCGUACAGCAAGAAAUAAAGUACUUCUAACACUUGGAAACGACCCUUUUAAGGAGAAGAUAUCCUUAACUUGACAAAGUCUGUGCCGGAAGGAAAUAUCAAGUGAUUGAAGUGAGUCUAGUAUGUGUACGAGGAAUAUUCGAUACCUGAUGGUAAGAAGUCUUAUUAACAUUUAUAAUAGCUCAGCACUCCGCGGCGACAACGACAAUCUGAUCGACCUCUACGUUCAUACGCUGUUACUAAUACUGUAUGCUUACAAGAAUAACGUUCAACUUAAAGUUCUAUGAACACUCUCCUUAAAGUGUGUUUAAAAAACGUCGAAUUAAGUGGUAUGAAGUCAUAAUGUAGUCCCUCCACACAACAUAGUACUCCCACCACGAUUCAAUGGAUCGAUCUUCAACACGCGUGGUUAUACACACGUAAAGAAUGACGACGUAUCGUGCGGUAGCUGCGACCCAGCUACCACAGCACGGAGCCGCCUGCCCCAGUCCUUUCCGUUGAACACGAAACUAAAGGUUUCGCCACCAAACCUAUCGUGUGGUGACAAGGAAUCCCAGCUCUUCUGCAGUGACUACUUGAUCGUACCGGUCUGAGGUCAGGGCAGAAUAGACUAAGUAGAUAUCACAGUAAAGCGACGAAAUUCGUUAACCUACCAGACACACGUCCAUGUAGUUGUUGUUCAAGUCGUUCAUCAUGUUCCGCUGCUUGCCUCCAUGUUUAGUUGCUGGUCGUGAAGUGUAAUGUCCAGUAUCUACAAGAACAAGAAAGUCAUAUGUUAUUCCAAUGAAGUCUAUCCUAAUCCGACAAUCCUAAUUAUAACUAUUUCACGUCCACACAAAACGAAGGUGUUUUCACGUCACCGACCUGGAACCACAAUAGAGUGAUGGAUAGUUUCAGUGGAUAGAGUGGCAUAACAGCUACGCUGGAUUUGAAAAAAACCCGUAACGUUUAGAAAGAUCCGACGAUAAACAAGAUGUUUUUUAAGACGUCACACAAGUCAAAAUGUUGUAAUCUAUAGGAACUUUUUUCAGUGAACAGAGUACUGGCUACGCAACCACAACAAGAAAACAAAAGUAACGUUCAGUAAAACCUGACGGUAUGUACCCAUAUGUUUUUCAAGGCGUCACACAAUCAAGUCUAAAAGUAGUAAUCAAUAGGAACUUUUUUAUCAACAGAAAGUAAUCGAACUCAUCUUGGCCGAAAGAUAAAUUUUACAGUCCCGUUUUGACUUAAAAGUAACUAAAAGUCAUUGAGAAAAAUACGGUCCUCACUGCGGAGAUGAUUUGCACUAUAGUAGGAACUUGUUUCAUUGUUUUUUUACCAAUCUGUCUACCCUACUGAAUCCAUAAGAGUACAAGGGUGUGGCGUUGACUUGUUCGAUUUGGACUUUAACAGACAUACCAACCCCCGAGGAAACGGAACCUUUUACGCCACUUAGGAACCAAAACGGAGAAACAAAGUGUCAGAAAGUUUCACGUGAAGGUGAGUGUGUUCCUAAGGUCAUGAUAGAGUCUCACAUAUUUUUAAUUUGUGUAUAAACAAACAGUCGUACGUAUCGAAUGCCCACCAAACUACGCCUCGUAGGAUACCAGUAGGGGUACAUGGAUGGUAGCAGAAUGGUUCUCGGUUCUCCUGGAUACUGUGCUCGUACUCGAUCUGGAGAGCGCUUGCUCCACUGGAGAAAGGAAUCACUAUAGUGUAUACUAGGUGAGCUCUGUACCGAUGAUGGAUUCAGGCUAUACGAUACGUACUAAUCCACAGUUCUCCUGGGAGGGCCUCUACAUGUACUUCUGCCUGUUCAGCGGUUCAGGUACCUGCUUCUCUUGGUUGCCUUUCUCAGUUCUUGUGGAGGGUCCGGGGCCUGUAGGCCGGUGCUGGGGCCUGUAGGCCGGGGACCUCGUAGGAGGAGUCGUCGGAGGGUCAGCGAGUUGUUCAUGUCCGGGGCCUGUAGACCGGGAUCGGGCCUUUAGGCCGGUCUUCGGGCCUGUAGGCCGCGGUGCGUGGUCUUGGAUGUCUUCGACGGAGGUGGUCGGGCCUGUAGGCCGGGAAGCCCUUCCGGGCCUGUAGGCCGGGGCAGACAGACGCGUGUCAUUUCCCGGCUUCGGGCACAUGGGAAAGCGGGGGGAUCUGAUAUAUAUGAGAGGGUAGAGGGAGAAAAAUCCCAAUCGUAAACAAAUCGAGUAUAUACUCUAUCUCGUAACGAGUAGGUAUGCCUAGACGAGGAGCUCUCUCUGGCGCCGGGGAGAUGCCUCUGCUAGGUGCAACCUAAGUUCUGGGGGAGAACCCACCGGGGUAGUUCUGGAGGAACGCCUCUUCUUGGCCAAUGGGAAACAUAGCAGGAAACAACCUAAACCUAGAACAUAGAGGGGAACACAAAGCUCCUAGAUCGUAUACACACUGAUAUAGAACAACCAAACUCUCAAGGAGAAUACAAAAGGGAACACUAAAGGGCACACAAGAAGCACAAGAAUCAACCCUAGGCGAGGAAGGCACUUUCUAGUCGGCAUAUCCCAAGGUGGGAUGUAGUAGAACCAUAGUACUCGGUGCAACUAUUGCUAAAGCCUCGGGGGAGAGAAACAAAAGAUCGGAUCAAAACAACUAAAACAGGGAUUAAGCUUUUAACGUGGUGUUUUUAUCGGGGUUAAAAAAAAACACUAAAUAACCACACUACUUCAAAACAUCCUAAACUAGGCGCCUAAAGCACACAACGUCCAUCUAGAUCGAAAGGUGGUAGAAAAGGGGUUAAAGGUAGGUGUUUUAGAAGGCUUAAAAUGGGGCCUAAACUGGAGAGGUGCGCCACAAGUAGCUCAAGCAGGUGCCUAGGUGUCGGGUCUGUAGGCCGCUGGUCGGGCCUGUAGGCCGGGGACUGUCGUAGUGAAGGAAGGUGGUGAGGCAAAUGGCGGAUUGAAAGCAGGUAAAAAACAAAGCCACGGGUGAAUGUGAAGGCGUAUGGUGGUGGUGAAGGCGUAUCGUGGUGGUAUCGGAAAUGACGAUGGUUGAGGCUGUUAAAACUGGGCAAAAAGAAACUCUUAAACUCAACACCAAAGGCACAGGAUAACACAAAGUCGAUAAAUCCAUGCCAAGUUGUAGUUGUAGUGGUGGCGAGUAGAAGCGGUGCCUGAUGAUGCUUGCUGAUGUGGUAACACCAUAGUUGGAGUGGAACCAUAGUAGAACCAUAGCACUAUAGUAGUAUGAAAGAACGUAAACGUAACUAUUGGGGUGUCGGAAUAAAAACACAGUGAAUGGGUAGCUCUGAUCGGGAACUCAUAACGGCCGUUGCACUGAACACGUGUAAUCACUAGUAUGAAGGGUAUCGUGUGUAUGGUAUAGCACAACGUAUAGAACAUAGUAGAGAACACAGUGUUUCAACAGUAUCGUGUGUGUUAACGAUAGAACCAAGCACUUCGUAACGUACUCUUUUCUCGAGUUUGUUGUUUCUCGGUUUGUUCGAAAAUUCGUUUUUCCUUUCUAUUCGUUUCUCGAAUAUUCGUUCUUGGUAUCGUAGUAUGUUGUAAUUCUAACAGUAUGAGCUAGUAGAACCUAGUAUAGUAGCCAUAUGGUAUGUAUAUCGUAUGAACCUAUCUUCAGCAACGUAAAAACGAAUCAUCCAACACGUGUUCAAACAUAGGCGGAUAACACGUUAGCACGAUCUCAGAGAGAUCACAACACGUUGUUCUCGUAAAAGAACCUGAGGUGUAAAACCGAGUAAGGAACCAACGUGUUGGGGUAGAUAGAUAAACGCACACACAAAGGCACAUGGUGUAAAACGAUAACCAGAUGAACAACGUAAAACGUUUAAACGCUUAGAAAAGGUUGUAAUAACUCAGAGUGAAGGUUAACGUAGUUUAAAACACGGUGGUAGGAUUGGCUCGAGGUGGUAUUCGAAAAUGAACACAUCCACACUCUUUGGCUGUUCUUAACCAUGGUUAACACGAUAAAGGAACAAGGUGUAACCUCACUAGUAACUAGGUAAAAGUUGUAGCCAGUUCCAUGUAAACCAUAUUCAAGAAGAGAAAGAGGGUGAGUGUAUAAAAGCAAACCUUACUACCUAUCCGGUUCAUGAAGAUGGUUGGGUGAGAAGGAAUUCUUUCUGCUGCUGGGCUUGUUGAUGCAGUGGUUUGAUGUGGAGAAACCAUGUGUUGCUCGGAACGUACUUCUCGUUGAUCGUUACUCGUUGGCGUAGCUGUUGGAGCGGUGGCUGAACGCUGAGAAGCUCGUUGCGUGUUCUCUGAUGAAGCUGGUGUUCGAGCUGCUCAUGUUCGUAUUCUUACUGUGUUCUUACCUACUCUAAGCACGGAACAACCAGUUGGCGAGAAGAUGGUGAAACAGGAUGAGUUCUUCCUCGGCGAACUCAACUGUGAGGCUGCUGUGAUAGAGGCCGAGUUCAUGGGGCUGUAGCUUGUGAGAAGUAGCACGGCGCGCAGUUCUAGCAGUUCGUUUGGCGUUAGGAGAUGUGCUGUGGCUGAGAGUUCUCGUAUCUGUAGCAGUUUUGGUUCGAUGUAAGCGCGUUCGUUUUCUUGCCGUUGCGGUUGCUGUUGUUCUUGUUCUCCUUGCUCGCGCUGUUGUAGUUCUACGUGUUCUGCGGCUCCGUGUUGUGGUUCUUGUUGUUGAAGCACUUCGAGUUCUUGAACUCCGCGUUGCACGGGAAGCUCUAAGUUCAGCUCGGUAUCGGUCGGCUCCGAUUGUUCGAGCAGAUGUAGUUCUUCGUGAAGCGCUACUUCGGGUUCUCUCCUAAAAGGUUCGUGCACACGUAGCUGUUCGAGGAGGUGUUCGAGCGGUUCUUGUAGUUCAAGCUGCUCUCAUUCUGCUGUUACCUUGAGGAGGUUCUGCUCUCGUUGUACUCAGGCUGUUGGGAGGAGCGGUUCUCGAUGUACUCUAACAGUUAGGAGUGGCUGUACCCGCAGUAGUAGGGGCUGGGGUUGUGUUACUUCUCGUUGCUAUGCCUUUCGAUUUCAAGUGGUACGGGUUCAAGUGGCCUUCGUUACUGGGGCUUCUCAUGUAUAGCACCCGUAACUUCCAACUGUUUUAGAAGACGAACGUGUUGAUGCUUCUUCUGUUCUUCUAUCGCUACCGUAGGGAACUUAAGGUUCUAAUGCAGGAGUAAACCACCCUUGUUCAGUAACUCUCGGCUCUCCGUUCUCCUCUUGGUGGGUAGUGAUGAACCCGCGUUUACUUCCUACAGUACUCUCGUGCAAAACACGGAUUGAUGAUGUUGGCGCUGGAGAAGUUCUUUGAGGUUGAGGAGUUCGUUCCUUGGUUCUCGCAACUUCUCAUGAUGUUCCUUUACCUCUAACGGUACUAUGCUCGGUUACAGUACCUUCUACUACUCGUUUAGUACCGGGCAAAGAACUUACCUGAGUUAGUAGGAUAGUUCUUCUAGCGGCUGAAGGUUGGUAUGAGCUUGGAGUAGCUCGAGCACGUGGUUCGAUGGUUUUGCCUUGCAGUUCACGUUCUACUGUAAUUUAUGCGGUUCAAAAGUAGGUUCAUGAUACCGAAGAGGUUGUUAGUUCGAGGUUGCUGAGGUCGUGGAAGAUGGAGUUGGUUCGGUAGAUGUUCGUUGCCGCUGUUCAGUUCAAUAUUCUUUUGAAGCUGUUCGAGUUCAGCAGGAGGAUGAAGUUCGGCUUUCGAAGUAGUAGUAGAUGGGCUUGGCUACUCUGGUAGUUCUGUUCAACGAAGUUUACGAAGUGUACGCCUCCGGCUCCGGUGUUCAGGAAACUCACGUGUUUGUUCGCGUGGUACUAGGAGUUGCUGCUGCCUUGGAUACUAAGUUACUCACUUCCUCUUUACCUUCGGGAACUCGUUCACCGGUACGUGGCAGUUCACUUGUUGCUUCUACUUCUACUAGUUCAGAAAACGCUACUUCUAAGUUCGGGGCGAGAACAACAGAGGUUCCAGAACUGAGAAGUUGUAGUUGUUCUGUUUCUGGUUUCUACGGUAUAGAAGGUGUGUUUCCGGCCGUAGUUACCUUCCAGACAGUUCCAGUAGUAGCUACCUCCCUCAACGGUAUUGAAUCGUUCGCUUCUUGAUACGAGGUUCGAAGUUAACCAGUUCUACUUCGUGGGCGUGGGGAUGUGCCAAGUUACCGAUUCACUGUGACCGUGAAACGUUUAGCUCGUAUCUCAUGUUCAAAGAAAGUUAUAGCCUCGAAUGCUUCUGUGAAACCUCACACUACAGUAGGGCUACUGGCACACGGUGGAGGAAGAACCUGCCGGUAAGUUAAACUGGCUCCACAGUAGGUGUUGCCUGUGUGUUUGGUGAUCGAAGUUCUACUUUCCUUCCCUCAAACACGAUGCUGGCUACAGAGGUUCGGUUCACGAGCGACUGUUCGUUCGAUGGGUAGCACCUCUUUUAUCACUCUCUCGCUUGGUGGUUUUUCUCUCACUCGCGGUGUUCGGUUUUAAGUCACGGAGGUGUUACUCACUGUUCUGUUUGAAUCAGGAUAAACGGUGGUUUGCACUCUACUCUCUUCACACACUCUUGGGUAGUUCACAGGAUGUAUACAGGAUAACACGUUCCUGCUCCGUGGUUUUUGAUUGUGGAGAGUGUUAAAUGGAAACCACAAGAGAAGAAAUAACGUUCUUAAAGUUCUACAAAAGGGGCUACUCGAUGGAGGUCCAGAUGGAGGUGAUGCUCCGUAGCUCGUGGCGUAGCUGGAGUAGGGGCCUCGCGGUGUAGGUUUGUUCCGAGGGAUGGCUCAGUUGGGGCUUCUUUGGUUUCUUUAUGUUUCCGUUCAUUUCGUAGAGUAUCUAGUACCUGUACACGCACUUUCAAACUCAGGAACACAAUAUGGCCAGUAAGAACACGGUUUUUCUCUGCCAUCGAAAGCGUACACAAGGUUGACAUCUGGUUAGUUACGAUAGUGGCAAGCGAUAUCCAUGGGGUAAGGUGCGGAACUGCUAUACGAUCUACUUGAAUCGCCACGGUGAUAAAAGAGGUUUUAACUAUAAUUUUCACCAAUGAUAGUUUAUGCGUAUGUUCUCCCACUACUUACCUUUUGGCGAAAGUUUUGUUUCAAAUCAAACAUACUCACCAAUCAGUACGGAUACCCAACUAGCCUUCGUGGGCCAUGAAAGUACGCGGAAUACGUAAUACACAAAGCGGAAAUGUAACCACUCAAACGACACCAGAUGAAACUGCUAUAGGAACACAAAUCUUUUAGAGAGUUUCUCGUACAGUGGGUGGAAGCGUGGCACGAAGUUUGAGAAGCUUUUCUCGCAGAAAUACGAUUAUACCUUUUUACGGAAAAACCACAACUGUUCGAACAAAAGAACCCAAAACAUCAUAGAAGAUUCCCACAAGUACAACUACUUAGAUUUUAGUUACGAUAAUUUUGAACCGGGGUUGGUUGGUUAAACGUUGUUCACGCAUCAAAAGAACCAAAUCGACCAAAAAUGGCAGCGAAACACUUCCUAAAAUCGUGGUAACGUAGAGGAAAUGUACGAAACUCGUUGUUCUUACGUGGGAAACAAACCCCUGGUAGAGUUCUAUCGCGUAAGUUACUCGAAUUCUUAAACGAAUGCGUACGAGGGCACGAACGAAAUGGGUUGAAACUGUUUGGAAAACUUUAAGUAACACUACGAUCACCAUUACCGUAUCCUCCACACAAUUGCGUUCUCUUCGCGGGGUAUCGUAUGAAAUCACUCUUUGAGAGACCUCGCGUUGAGUUAAUGGGGUAGAUACUGUUUCUCGAUAUACGAAAUCACGCUCAAAACGUACUUACCCUUGUAAUGGAAGCGGGAGUACUUAAAUAGUAGGUAUGGCUAGUACUUUGCGAAUUCAUGGAAUUCCCAGUUUGAUUCAACUUGUUCGCAGUACGAUUUACCUCACUCAAAUAUCUCAGAAAAGGAAUACAAUAGUUUAUGUAUUUUCCGUUUCUUUUACAACACACCUACGUGAAAGGGCAUAUACGUACGAACAAUGAGUUGAACUUAACUUACGGUAACCGAAACUCGUGUAUUUUCUGAAGAUACUCGUACUAGGAUGAAAACGAUAAGGAAUACGGUUUACAAACUGCGUAUGAAGAACCCUUGCGAUAAUGUAGUUUUUACCAAUAGAAUACUCUCGAUUGUUUGAUACGUAGGGGCUCAGAAGAGAAGCAAACAACGAAAACGUUCUUAGAGUACCGCCUCCUGAUUACCCUGUAAAACCUGCGCUGUUCUGUAAACGGUGCGAGAGGGUUCUUGAUCAAAACCGGGUUCUACAAAGCGUUGCAGUUGGCGAAGUGGUUGGCUACGAGAUGUACAGCGUUUCGAUUCAGAUUUCGAGUUAGAGUACCGGAAAUGUACGGUGAAGGUUAAGGUAUAGUUGGUACCCUUCUAUAAUCGUACCUAAAACAUGAACCAAACGGAUCUUGAUCUUUACCUUUCCUAAAGCAGAAACAACAACACCUGGUUAAGAGGUUUUACCGAGUAAAGUAAGGAACGUUGUUCUAUCUGCUACGAAGUGUACAACGUUUAAACAAAACACCCCUUUAGAACGCGGAAGUACCUCACGGUUUCUGCUAACAGAGCCUGGCGCUGCAGUUCAAGAACUCAAUGAAAACCUUCUGGAACACGCGGUUCGAGCCUUAGUUCGAAAACAAGAGAAGCCGUAUGGUAGGUGUUUGGCUGCCGGUUUGUCUCCACUGCUUGGCGUGCGAGAGGUGAAAUGAUGAACACAACUAUUUCUUCUUGUAGUUCCUCACCCUCCUCACGGAUGGAUAGCGGCUCAUGCGGAUGUUGGCACGUUCUGUAAGCUGAUAGCCUUUCAGGGGGAAGCUCCAACAGAUGCCGAAGUUGGGCAACAGGGGUAACCUGUAAGAUGGAGAUGGCGAUAUUUUCGCGUGUUUGCACCUGCGCUCACGGGCUCAGUUGAUGGAGUUCUUCUACGUACUUCUAUGUUCCGUGUGGAAGCUCGCGGUUCAUGUUGCUGAGCGUUGGUUCGAGUUGCAGUUGUUCGUUGGGUACUAUAAGUUGUUACCUCUAGAACACACCGAUGUGGAAGCGUUCCUGGCGAAGGGGUUGCUUGCGUUCAGGUUUGAAAAUGGUGCUCGACUACCUGGGAAGUUCCACGAACGUGCGAUGUUGUUGUUACGGAUGUUCUAGCUGUAGGGUGCGUUGUUCAUGAGGUACUCGCUGUAGAAGUUGCAGUUUCUAGAGAGGGGCAUGGUACCACUACUCCUAAAGCUAGGCUCCAGCCUAGAAAGGGUUCCCUCCCCUCUGCUACGCCUCGUAGGAUGCCAGUAGGGGUACCUGGAUGGUAGCAGAAUGGUUCUCGGUUCUCCUGUAUACUGUGCUCGUGCUCGAUCUCGAGAGCUCUUGCUCCACUGGAGAAAGGAAUCACUAUAGUGUAUACUAGGUGAGAUCUGUACCGAUGAUGGAUUCAGGCUAUACGAUACGUACUAAUCCACAAUUCUCCUGGGAGGGUCUCUACAUGUACUUCUGCUUGUUCAACGGUUCAGGUACCUGCUUCUCUUGGUUGCCUUUCUCAGUUCUUGUGGAGGGUCCGGGGCCUGUAGUCCGGGGACCUGGUAGGAGGAGUCGUCGGAGGGUCGGCGAGUUGUUCCUGUCCGGGGCCUGUAGGCCGGGCUCGGGCCUUUAGGCCGGUCUUCGGGCCUGUAGGCCGCGGUGCGUGGUCUUGGAUGUCUUCAACGGAGGUGAUCGGGCCUGUAGACCGGAGGAUCGGGCCUGUAGGCCGGGAAGCCCUUCCGGGCCUGUAGGCCGGGCAGCGGGCCUGUAGGCCGGGGCAGGCAGCCGCGUGUCAUUUCCCGGUUUCGGGCACAUGGGAAAGCGGGGGGAUCUGAUAUAUAUGAGAGGGUAGAGGGAGAAAGAUCCCAAUCGUAACCAAAUCGAGUAUACACUCUAUCUCGUAACGAGUAGGUAUACCUAGACGAGGAGCUCUCUCUGGCGCCGGGGAGGUGCCUCUGCUAGGUGCAACCUAAGUUCUGGGGGAGAACCCACCGGGGUAGUUCUGGUGGAGUGCCUCUUCUUGGCCAAUGGGAAACAUAGCAGGAAACAACCUAAGCCUAGAACAUAGAGGGGAACACAAAGCUCCUAGAUCGUAUACACACUGAUAUAGAACAACCAAACUAUCAAGGAGAACACAAAAGGGAACACUAAAGGGCACACAAGAAGCACAAGAAUCAACCCUAGGCGAGGAAGGCACUUUCUAGCCGGCAGAUCCCAAGGUGGGAUGUAGUACCACUAUCCUGACUAAUAACUUAAUUGGCCACAGACAAGUCAAAAUGACCAUAGUGGAACUACAUUAACCGUCAGGAGGUUUAUUCACGUUUACUAACCGCUACUAAACCAACAACACUAUAAAAAGUCCUAUUCCCACCAAGUCUAUAACAAUUUCUGAAAGAUUCCAAUCCUCCGUCUAUCACGAGUAAUAAAGCCGGGAUGUUGGUUCGAAGUACGUAGAACAGCUACUUGAAUUACCAUUAGUACAGUAUGUAUUCACGAACAGUUUGAAACCGCGUCUUCUCUUGUUCCAUGUAUUAUCAUGAAACUUACAAGAAAGGAUUGUGAGGGAGCACGUGUGUAAAGAUUAACGUGAAGUUAAAGUAACGAAUAGAAACCAAAGAAUACAUCUUAGGAGCGAUACUAUAACUAAAGGUUAUAUUUUACAUACAUGUGUUCCUACACAACCACCCAGGGAUGGUGUUUUCCUUCGAACACUUCAACCAGUGGUUCAAGUGAAACCUGGACCUAAUUGAAUCGCAGGUUAAGGAGAUCUAUAAAAAAGGACGAAAUAAUAUAGUUGUUAAGUCGCUACGGUACUUAGAGUCCGUAAAACUCCCGUAACUAUUACGUUGUAGUUCGAGCAAAACGAUAAACCUUACACUUAGCCCAGAAACUUACAUGCAACGUAGAACUCCGUUUCCUAGGUCUGUUCCUCCCCCUCGUCGGCGCGGGCCUCCUCCAGCAGGUGCCGUGGUCUUAGGAGCAACUCCUCCAACAGGUCGCGGGUAUAGGAGCAACAGCUGGAACGGGUAGGUCUGCUUCAUAGAAACCUGUAGUUGGAAUCUCCGGUACGACCCUCCGUCCUCCUCCUCUCCGCUCAAGCGGUCACGACUUCCUCGUGGUCAUGGUGCAGAAGCAGUUUUAUACAUUAUUAUUUUUUGUUAUACUACAGAAAGAAUACUAAAAUGAGUGAGGUGAUGAUCUUCUUGUGGUGUUAGUCAGAGAAAACGAACGGCGCCUACACUGAUAUAGACGUACCUUUUAAAAUAUAUAACUUCUUCACAUAUGUUUCACCAAAUUCACGUU